UCUUAGGCGUGCAUAACUUGAGGUAUUGGUUGUUCCUGUACAUGUUUCAAUUUGAGCUCCCAAUGUCUCAACACAGGUGAGGGAAGUGGCAUUAAGAAGGUUAUGGGGGACUCGACGACAGAUUGACCGAGAGGCAGAGAUGAGAUGCAACACGCACUGUCUGGAGAUUUCAUGGAAUGCUAGGAAAUUUAAACUUCUUAGCAUAAUUGGAGGUGAUUGUACUGGUCUUAUGUUUUGGAUUGUUUUCUUUUUGGUUUUGUUUGUUGUUGAUUUUGAAUAAAUGUGGAGGUGCAUGUCAUAUGUGAUAGUGAAUGUACUUGAUUAAAAGUUUGAGUUAGUUGCUGAUA